rnacentral:rRNA from 1 species
UACGGAGGGGGCUAGCGUUGUUCGGAAUGACUGGGCGUAAAGCGCGCGUAGGCGGGCUGGAAAGUCAGGGGUGAAAUCCCGGGGCUCAACCCCGGCAUGGCCCUUGAGACUCCCAGCCUCGAGUUCGAGAGAGGUGGGUGGAAUUCCGAGUGUAGAGGUGAAAUUCGUAGAUAUUCGGAGGAACACCAGUGGCGAAGGCGGCCCACUGGCUCGACACUGACGCUGAGGUGCGAAAGCGUGGGGAGCAAACAGGAUUAGAAACCCUCGUAGUCC